AGUGAGGGAUUUUGCGCAAUGGGGGAAACCCUGACGCAGCAACGCCGCGUGAGUGAAGAAGGCCUUUGGGUCGUAAAGCUCUGUCGACAGGGAAGAAGUUGAGAUAUAUUAAUAGUGUAUUUCAUUGACGGUACCUGUAGAGGAAGCACCGGCUAACUCCGUGCCAGCAGCCGCGGUAAUACGGGGGGUGCAAGCGUUAUUCGGAAUCAUUGGGCGUAAAGGGCACGCAGGCGGUUCUGUCAGUCAGAUGUGAAAGCCCGGGGCUUAACCCCGGACGUGCAUUUGAAACAGCAGGACUUGAGUAUGGUAGAGGAAAGCGGAAUUCCUGGUGUAGAGGUGAAAUUCGUAGAUAUCAGGAGGAACACCGGUGGCGAAGGCGGCUUUCUGGACCAAAACUGACGCUGAGGUGCGAAGGCGUGGGUAGCGAACAGGAUUAGAUACCCUGGUAGUCCACGCAGUAAACGUUGUACACUAGGUGUAGCGGGUAUUGACCCCUGCUGUGCCGGAGCUAACGCAUUAAGUGUACCGCCUGGGGAGUACGGCCGCAAGGCUAAAACUCAAAGAAAUUGACGGGGGCCCGCACAAGCGGUGGAGCAUGUGGUUUAAUUCGACGCAACGCGAAGAACCUUACCCAGACUUGACAUCCUGUGAACCUCUUAGAAAUAAGAGAGUGCCUUCGGGAGCACAGAGACAGGUGCUGCAUGGCUGUCGUCAGCUCGUGUCGUGAGAUGUUCGGUUAAGUCCGGCAACGAGCGCAACCCUUGUCUUCAGUUGCCAGCACGUAAAGGUGGGAACUCUGAAGAGACUGCCCCGGUUAACGGGGAGGAAGGUGGGGAUGACGUCAAGUCCUCAUGGCCCUUAUGUCUGGGGCUACACACGUGCUACAAUGGUAUGUACAAAGGGCAGCAAGCAUGCGAGUGCAAGCUAAUCCCUUAAAGCAUAUCCCAGUCCGGAUUGGAGUCUGCAACUCGACUCCAUGAAGUUGGAAUCGCUAGUAAUCGUGGAUCAGCAUGCCACGGUGAAUACGU
rnacentral:rRNA from 1 species